UGACGACCAUAGCGACUGUGAACCACCUGAUCCCAUUCCGAACUCAGAAGUGAAACCGGUCCGCGCCGAUGGUAGUGUGGGGUCUCCCCAUGUGAGAGUAGGUCAUCGUC
rnacentral:rRNA from 1 species